UGAUGAAUAUUGGACAAUGUGCGCAAGCCUGAUCCAGCCAUGCCGCGUGCAGGAAGAAGCAUCUAUGGUGUGUAAACUGCUUUUGUACGGGAAGAAACACUCCUUCGUGAAGGAGCUUGACGGUACCGUAAGAAUAAGGAUCGGCUAACUCCGUGCCAGCAGCCGCGGUAAUAUGGAGGAUCCAAGCGUUAUCCGGAAUCAUUGGGUUUAAAGGGUCCGUAGGCGGUUUAGUAAGUCAGUGGUGAAAGCCCAUCGCUCAACGAUGGAACGGCCAUUGAUACUGCUAGACUUGAAUUAUUAGGAAGUAACUAGAAUAUGUAGUGUAGCGGUGAAAUGCUUAGAUAUUACAUGGAAUACCAAUUGCGAGGGCAGGUUACUGCUAAUGGAUUGACGCUGAUGGACGAAAGCGUGGGAAGCGAACA
rnacentral:rRNA from 1 species